rnacentral:tRNA from 2 species
GCCCGAGUGGCGGAAUGGCAGACGCGGAGGUCUCAAAAACCUCUGAGGGAAACCUCGUGUGGGUUCGACCCCCACCUCGGGCA